CUAUACAGCCAUAGCACCCUGAGAACGCCCCAUCUCGCCUGAUCCGGGAAGCUAAGCAGGGUCGGGCCCGGUCAGUGCUUGGAUGGGAGACCAGCUGGGAACAGCGGGUGCUGUGGGCU
rfam:Patagioenas fasciata monilis isolate BTP2013 Sc31e1R_846, whole genome shotgun sequence.